rnacentral:rRNA from 1 species
AUUGAACGCUGGCGGCAGGCCUAACACAUGCAAGUCGAACGGUAACAGGGAUCAGCUUGCUGAUUCGCUGACGAGUGGCGGACGGGUGAGUAAUGUCUGGGAAACUGCCUGAUGGAGGGGGAUAACUACUGGAAACGGUAGCUAAUACCGCAUAACGUCGCAAGACCAAAGAGGGGGACCUUCGGGCCUCUUGCCAUCGGAUGUGCCCAGAUGGGAUUAGCUAGUAGGUGGGGUAACGGCUCACCUAGGCGACGAUCCCUAGCUGGUCUGAGAGGAUGAGUAGACACACCGGAACUGAGCCACGGUCCAGACUCCUAUGGGAGGCAGCGGUGGGGAAUAUUGCACAAUGGGCGGAAGCCUGAUGCAGCCAUGCCGAGUGUAUGAAGAAGGCAUUCGGGUUGUAAAGUACUUUCAGCGGGGAGGAAGGGAGUAAAGUUAAUACCUUGGCUCAUUGACGGUACCCGAAGAAGAAGCACCGGCUAACUCCGUG